AUUUGUAAGAUAGACAGUUACAGUCUUAUUACAUACAAAAUAUUUUAUUUUUUGAUACAUUUAAUUUAAUAUAUACUGCCGGUAUGAAAAUCUACAGUUCGCAUUACAUAUACUUUAGAUUUCAUACCAACAGCUCGACGCCAAAUGUUUCGCUUUUCGCAAUUAACCUGACCCCCCUCAAGCCCCAAAAAGACAGAGAGCGCAACAUUUUUAGAAAAUAGAAAGACGCUUGCAAACUGCACACACCACGUUAUUUCUCUUAGUGGGCCCGUCCCCCACCUCUCCCACCUCAUCACUACUCUCAUCUUCCUCUCUCUCUCUCUCUCUCUUUCUCUUUUAUUAUCUCCAUUACACGUGAUACAUAAUGCCUUUGAAACAGAUAUUACUCUACUAUAUUAUGUUAUUGACGUAACAAUAUUACGUUGUUAAUAUUAAUAUUGUAAAUUUGAUCAAUAACUUAUUAUUAUAAUAUUUUAAUAAUGUAUAGUAUAUAAGUUUUGAAUUUAAUUGAAAUUUCUUUGCAGAUUCACUGGAAAAGGGUCAUACUUUUUGAUGCUCACGAAAUGAAAAAACACAAACCAAAUGUGUCAAGCAGCUUGUGCGCUCUCAGCCCGCAAACGUUGGGCUGUUACCAACAAACCUAUAGAAAGCGCAGAAGAAAAUUUAUAUGCUAUAUGGACUUUUCUAAAAUACGCGCCAUUCAAUGAUUAUUGCACUUGAAAAUACUGGAUACACAAUGACGCUGUGGGUCAUCAAAGAUUAAUGUUGUUGAUGAAGACGAUUAUGUUGAGACGAAUUAAACAAGUUUUAGUAACAGAAGGCCACAUACAUUUGCCUAAAUUGUCACGGAGAAUGAGAUUAAACUUGACCACAAAGAAGAAUUGAUAUAUAAUGUUGGAAAAAGGGAAAAAUAAAGCCAAUUUCAAAUCGAGCGCCGGAGCACUCGGAUGCUCCAGAUAAUCGCGCGGGCGCAGGCCACUGAAAUCGGAGCAAGGGAGCGCGGAGCUUGCCGGCAAAAGGAGAGGCUCGCCCUCUCUCUCGGAACAUCGGACCGGCAGGACAUGCGACCGUGACGAUCAAUUUUCUGCGUGUUUCGGACUCAGCCGUGUAACGAAAUACGCACAAGUGUGUAGCUGUGUUUUCUAUCUUUCUUAUUUGUCAGAAAUAUAUAUUGCUUGGAAAAACCAAAACGUGUUGCUUCAUGUGACCCGCACGAAAAACCUACGUGGCUGCUCCAAAAAUCCAACAUAUAAAAAAAUUUAUGGUUUUUUGUCAUAAGUUGCUAGAUUUUUUAAAACAACAAAAGUUAAAGUGGAACGAUGGUAAGUAUAAUAAACCUGUUUUUUCUCAAAUUCAAGCAAGAAAGAUUUUAUUUGAAUUAGUAAUAUACUGUAUCUUAUUUAUUUUAACGCAUAAUUGUCUUUUUUUUUCAAGACAAACCAACACAGUCCAUUGAACUACAAAAUAAAUCAAUAAACACCAACAUAAAUUUGUGUGAAAUUUUUUUGCUUCCGUUACGAUUACGCCAAUCAUGUUGUAACCUGACCUUGAUCUAUAAAAGUCCGGACAAGAAAAUUGUGAAGCAAUUAUACAGUAAAAGUAUAAACAAUGCAGUUGAAAAGGCCAACAAAAAUUAUACCGACAGUAUGCGUAUGAUAAUGGAAAAUUUACAUUUUUCAAGAGUGUUAAAUGAUGAUUUUAUUAGUUCAAAGACAAGGGCAGUCAUACAAUUAGUUAAAGACAUAAUAGAAAAAGGAAAUGAUAAAUUAAUUAUCGUCUCCCAGUGGACGCAACAACUGCAUAUAAUUGCCUCACAUCUGCAUGUCCUCAAUAGACGGCGCCACGUACGGUCAAUUAACUGGAGAAAUUAAAUCCAAAUGUCGAGAAGUAUGGAUAUUAUGUAAUUUUAAUUGUAUUUUAUUAGAUUAAAAAAAUUAAUGCUUAUUUUUUUUCUAGGAUUCAAACAGAUUUAAUAAUACAACAAAUCCCAAGAUAUUAUUACUGUCUCUACUAGUUGGUGGAAUGGGAUUUAAUCUUACGGGUGUAAACCAUUUGAUAUUUGUGGAUGUAUCUUGGGAUCGACAAUAACUAGAAGAGGCAGUUGUGAAUAAAGUUUAUCAAAUGGAACAGAAAAAAAUGUGUAUAUUUAUAAGUAAGUAUAAUGCAUUUGAUUUCUGCACACGUAUAUUUCCUAUAAAGUUUAUUUUAAUAUAUUUACGUUUCCAUUUCAGAUUUUUAUGUCGUGACACUAUCGAAAUAAAAAUAAAUGAUUUACUGAAGAGGUUCGCGAUUUCAAAUCCCGCGCAUGACAUUGCGGAUAACCGUGGCAGUACCAGCGCUCGAACGGAGCGCCCUCCCGCGUUCUUUUAUAUAUACUCUUACAGUUCGUCAUCGCGUGUAAGCAUACCAUGAAUAAAAUCGCUGUUCAAAGAGA